CCUGCAGCUGGGAGAGGAGCCCCAGGCCCAGGAUACCCAGGUGUUCACUCAGUGAUCAGGACAGAAUACAGACAACUCACCAUGGAAUUUGUGCUGGGCUGGGUUUUCCUUCUUGCUCUUUUAAAAGGUGUCCAGUGUGAGGUGCAGCUGGUGGAGUCUGGGGGAGACCUGGCGAAGCCUGGGGGGUCCCUGAGACUCUCCUGUGCAGCCUCUGGAUUCACCUUCAGUAACUAUGGCAUGAGCUGGGUCCGGCAGACUCCAGGGAAGGGGCUGCAGUGGGUCGCAUAUAUUAGCAGUAGUAGUAGUUACACAUACUAUGCAGACUCUGUGAAGGGCCAAUUCACCGUCUCCAGAGACAAUGGGAAGAACACGCUGUAUCUGCAGAUGAGCAGCCUGAGAGCUGAGGACACGGCCAUGUAUUACUGUGCGAGAGACACAGUGAGGGGAAAUCAGUGUGAGCCCAGACACAAACCUCAAACUACAAGGGUAUCAGACCAGCAGAGGGUGCACACUCCUCACCAGUUCUGUCUUUAAUCCCAGGAGCAGGUG